rnacentral:rRNA from 1 species
UGGAACUGAGACACGGUCCAAACUCCUACGGGAGGCAGCAGUGAGGAAUAUUGGUCAAUGGGCGAGAGCCUGAACCAGCCAAGUAGCGUGCAGGAUGACGGCCCUAUGGGUUGUAAACUGCUUUUAUAAGGGAAUAAAGUGAGUCUCGUGAGACUUUUUGCAUGUACCUUAUGAAUAAGGACCGGCUAAUUCCGUGCCAGCAGCCGCGGUAAUACGGAAGGUCCGGGCGUUAUCCGGAUUUAUUGGGUUUAAAGGGAGCGUAGGCCGGAGAUUAAGCGUGUUGUGAAAUGUAGACGCUCAACGUCUGCACUGCAGCGCGAACUGGUUUCCUUGAGUACGCACAAAGUGGGCGGAAUUCGUGGUGUAGCGGUGAAAUGCUUAGAUAUCACGAAGAACUCCGAUUGCGAAGGCAGCUCACUGGAGCGCAACUGACGCUGAAGCUCGAAAGUGCGGGUAUCGAACAGGAUUAGAUACCCUGGUAGUCCGCACGGUAAACGAUGGAUGCCCGCUGUUGGUCUGAAUAGGUCAGCGGCCAAGCGAAAGCAUUAAGCAUCCCACCUGGGGAGUACGCCGGCAACGGUGCAACUCAAAUG